AUAGGUGGCGAGCGUUAUUCGGAAUUACUAGGCGUAAAGCGAGUGUAGGCGGACUCUUAAGUCUGACGUUAAAUCUCCUGGCUUAACUAGGAGCUGUCGUCGGAUACUGAGAGCCUCGAAUGGGGUAGGGGGCAGCGGAAUUCCCGGUGUAGCGGUGGAAUGCGUAGAUAUCGGGAGGAACACCUAUGGCGAAAGCAGCUGCCUGGGCCUCUAUUGACGCUAAGACUCGAAAGCUGGGGGAGCAAACAGGGAUUAGAUACCCUGGUAGUCCCAGCUGUAAACGAUGGUCACUAGAUGUGGGAGGUAUCGACCCCCCCCUUCCGUGUCGUCGCUAACGCUUUAAGUGACCCGCCUGGGGAUACGGCCGCAAGGUUA
rnacentral:rRNA from 1 species